CUCCGCUUCUGACUGAGACCCCCCCCAAGGCCCCGCCCUCUCCCUGCCUCCCUCAGGCUCCGCCCCCAGCCCUCAAGCUCCACCCCCACAGCAGCUCCGCCCAGAACGCGUUGUCCCUGGCAACCCUGAUUCCUCUGCGCUGGCAGCCCUGGCUGCGGCGCUAAGUCCUCCUGGCUGGUUCCGCCCUCUUUGGCGCCUCCAAAUAACGGCGUUUCUCCGUGCGCGGUCCUAGGACCCUUCCUGCUCCCUAAAACCUUCCUGGAAAACCCAUCCCAGGCUCCAAAUUUUUGUAUUACGCCCACUGUCCCCAAACCGCUCUCUGGAACCCCCAUGCCCCAAGGCUAGUUUCCGCUGCCUGGCCUGUCCACACCGAGCGCUCGCGGUCCGCUAGCGGGGUCCACAGGGCAGGUGUUGAGGACCCCGGGGACACAAGGAGGCUGUGUCUACGAAGGAAGAGCGCACGGCUGAACCCGAGGCUGCUCUCCCAGAGUCUCAGACUCCUCCAGAACGUCCCAGACCCAGGGGAAGCCCCAUCAGAGGCGCGGACCCGGGUCCAAAGGAGCUGGAGUUGGAGGGGAGUGGGUGAAAAUCUGGGUACCGAAGAUCGCCCUAAAGGGAAAGCGAGAAAUGUGCUCGGAGCGGCCAGAGGCUCUCCUGUGAUCCGGUGGGCAAUGUUGAGACGGCAGGCACACGAGAUCCGGGGUCCUUUGCCUGUGCAGGCAGCUCUACCAGCUGCCAGUAGAGGGCGCUGCCUGGAAGCACGUGGCCAACCACCUGGCCCUUCGCUGGGAAGAUCUGGAGGAAGGCUCUCCGACAUGGUAGCUGUUGGUCACACGUGGCAGGGGGACACUUGAAACGUGGCUAGUCCAAAUUGAGAUGUGCUGUGUGUGUGAAAUACACACUGGAUUACAUCAAUUUAAUACCAAAAAAAGAAUGUAAAAAAUCUCAUGGAUAUUUUUAUAUUGAUUAAAAUGAUAAUUUUUGAAUACGUUGGGUUAAAUAAAAUAUACUGUUGAAAUUAAUUCCA
rnacentral:lncRNA from 1 species